GUUGAGGCGUUGAUUUGCACGCAAAGCUGGUUACAGACACCGGUUGAUCUUGAUCCAAACACCUUAGGAACUGAUGAUGCUGAAGAUGUUUCAGAAUUUUUAGGUUCUCUUGCAACUUCUAAGUUCAUCCGCAUUGACAUAGAUGAUGAUGAAGAAGAAGAAGAUUCAACUUUGUUAUCGUGAAGUUGAUUAUAAAUGAUUUAACGGGUUAGCGGUUACCAUUACAACCUCCUGUGGAAUACCCAAUUUCUACACAUGCAAAGUGUAUUCACUGUAACAAACUAUUUCCUGUCGACCCUUUUAGGAAUGAACUUAUGAUGUGUAGUCAGUUAUGAACUUAUGAUUAUGAUUUUUUGAUGUUUUUUCAUUUUUGUUAUUAAGGAGAAACUAGACUCUUUAAAAUUUAAUGUUUCUAUCAAUAUGUAUUGGAAGUUGGAACAUUUGAUGUAUUUGAAACUUGAGUGACAGGUUCAGAAAAAUUUGCCUGUCAUUUUUGUGAGACUGACAGAUAUAAAAAAUUUCAGUGGUUAACCAAAAACCGAAUGGUUUUAUACAAAACCGAGUUGGAACCGAACCGAGAAAAACCGAACUACCCAAAUGGUUUCAUUGGUUUUCAUUAUUGGAAACCGAGUAGUUCGGUUUCGGUUUAAUUUUUUCAAAAAACCGAUGAAAACCGAACCAUGU